UUCCUGCCGGGUUCCUCUCUGCCAGGCUGAUACUCCACAGAGCUGACUGAAUGCACCUGCCGAGCUGCCUGCUAGAUGCCACUGAAGUGUCCACAGGGCUCUGAAGAAGGUGGCUGUGGCCAUCACUGGCCCAGGCACUCUUAGCUCCUGGAAGAGGGAGGCUCCUGGGGCAUGAGCUCAGGUGCCAGUCAUAAGCAAGUCAGGCCAGAAGUCUGAUGUCCUGUACCUGCUCCUGAUCCCACGACAUCCCGGCUUGGUGACUCAGCCAUAGCAUCUGCCAGCCGCUCCCGGAGGCCCUCCUCUGUGUGCUCCAUGGAAGACAUGUGCCGUAGCCCGAAGCCCUCAGGCCAGCUCCCACACACCUCCAGCAGGGUCACGCUCCGGUCAAAGAUAGGCUCCCAGCCGCCAGGGCCAUGGGCACGGCCAGGGUACCAUUUCGGGGAUACGAGCAAUGCAACCGGGUGAUACCAUCUUCAACAAGGGUCCUUCCUUAAUCCAAACCCGUUCCCGAGUUUCAAAAAAAAGUACACGGUGUUCUGCUAAGUGCCAAGAUUAGAUGUUACAUGCAAGAUCACUUCAAAGUCCACAUUUAAACGACUCGGCUCCGUUCUACAGCAAGUCUACUGUGAAGGCUUAUUGCAUCCAGCUUCUCUUGGAAGGAGAUGAUGGCCAUGCUCUGUUGCUUUAAGCACAUACCAUUUCCCCGGCGAUUAGGUAACUGAAUCCACUACAUUUAUUGGACUAGGUUCCUGCCAGCACCAGGAAGAUGAGGAAAAAAUGCAAAUGCCGAUGUUUCCCAAAGUUAAAAGUACAUGAAACACACACCCUUUAUCGGGCCUUGCUUCUCCCCUUUGAUCAGCCGUCAGAAACUAUCUUCCCGGGCGGGCAGGACUGGGCAGUGUCAGCGCACACUCGCUACCACUGACAGGUGGUAAUAGAGAGGGUGCGAGCCUGGCCCCGGCGGGCGGCCCUGCCUGUGAUAACGGCCGCGGCAGUGAGGUGAU